rnacentral:rRNA from 1 species
GAUGAACGCUGGCGGCGUGCCUAAUACAUGCAAGUCGAGCGAACGGACGAGAAGCUUGCUUCUCUGAUGUUAGCGGCGGACGGGUGAGUAACACGUGGAUAACCUACCUAUAAGACUGGGAUAACUUCGGGAAACCGUAGCUAAUACCGGAUAAUAUUUUGAACCGCAUGGUUCAAAAGUGAAAGACGGUCUUGCUGUCACUUAUAGAUGGAUCCGCGCUGCAUUAGCUAGUUGGUAAGGUAACGGCUUACCAAGGCAACGAUGCAUAGCCGACCUGAGAGGGUGAUCGGCCACACUGGAACUGAGACACGGUCCAGACACCUACGGGAGGCAGCAGUAGGGAAUCUUCCGCAAUGGGCGAAAGCCUGACGGAGCAACGCCGCGUGAGUGAUGAAGGUCUUCGGAUCGUAAAACUCUGUUAUUAGGGAAGAACAUAUGUGUAAGUAACUGUGCACAUCUUGACGGUACCUAAUCAGAAAGCCACGGCUAACUACGUG